GGGAGACCUAGCUACUCUCCUUGCUUGCUUGCUACUCAUUAAUGCAAUGUGAGGACCACCUGCCCUAUCUUAACACUUAAUGUCCAUAUUUCCCAGAUCUUAUGCAAGAAUGUGUUAAUGCCAUGUCCAUAAUUCAAGAUUUGCCAGCCCACGGAAGCACUAACCAACUAUCCCACAGCACCUGGUUUUUAACAUUUACUCUCCUCCCUCGUUCUCUCUCUGUGUGCUAGUUGCUGCCAUUGGUGACCUUUCCUUUUGUUGCAGCUCUUCCAGCCAGCACAGCCUUUAUUAUCAGAUGGGAAAUAGCAUGCAUUCUAUCAUCAAGUGACAGUGUUAUGCUAGAGAAAGAGAGGUGGUUUUCUGGUAUGACAAAGGUUUCACACUGAGGUGUCAAGAGGCUAUUACUUUUUGGGUUCUUGGAGCAAUGGAGGGCUUUGCAACUGGUUUUUUUGUUAGAGUGAUGAAGAAAGCUGUCUUUGCUACUUUCACUUGCAUCCUUGCAUUAGGAGGAGCUGCAGUGGGCACAGUGAUAGGAGCCAUGAAAGGGCAGACAACAGAAACUGGGUUUCUUCGUGGGUCUGGAAUAGGUGCUGUGGCAGGUGCUAUCACUGCCGUUCAAUUGCUUGAAUCCGUUGCUGAUGGGGAGCCAUUGUCCAAGCUUGCUCUAUUUUGCAGCUUGAUGAAUGGGAAGGUCUUCAUGGAAUGGGUAAGUCCAGCAGUGCUAAAAGCUUAUCAAUGGCAAAUCAGUGGGCUGGAAACCACUUACAGAGAAGUUUCAGACAUCUAUGACACCAGUGGAAAUAGAGGGUUGUCCAAGAAUUGCAUUCAAAAGCUUCCUCAACUCACAUUCCAAUCCACUCACAACUUUGAUCAAAUCCACCAAUUCUGUUGUUCCAUUUGCUUGCAGGAUUUCAAUGGAGGAGACUCGAUGAGGAAGCUUCCCCAUUGUGGGCAUUUGUUUCAUAUGGACUGCCUAGAUAAAUGGCUGUCUAGAAAUGGGUCUUGCCCAAUGUGUAGAAAUUAUGUUUGCGAUGACACUCAUAUAUUCCAGAUGUAGAACAUUGGUUUUGAGUUUUGACUCACAAAUGAAUUAUGAGGAGAAAAUUUAUAAAAUAUACUUACAAUAUGUAUUGUAAAUUAUAAAAUUGCUCACAUCCUGUCGUUAAUUAAAUCGUUUAUCA
rnacentral:misc_RNA from 1 species